UACGGGGGGAGCAAGCGUUGUUCGGAUUUACUGGGCGUAAAGGGCGCGUAGGCGGUCGUGACAAGUCACUUGUGAAAUCUCCGGGCUUAACUCGGAACGGUCAAGUGAUACUGUCGGACUAGAGUACAGAAGGGGCAACUGGAAUUCUCGGUGUAGCGGUGAAAUUCGUAGAUAGUGGGGAGGAACACCGGUGGCGAAGGCGGCCAUCUGGACGGAUACGUGACGCUGAGACGGCGAAAAGCGUGGGUAGCAAACAGGA
rnacentral:rRNA from 1 species